GCAACCUGGCCACAGUCUGUUUCCUGCACCCAUUGGGUGUCAACCUCAGGCAAAGGGACUCUGCGCUUUGACUUCUUCCUCUGCAAAAUGGGAAUAAUAAUAGUGAUGAGUCCUCUAUGUAACUUUAGGAGUACAUGAAAACAGGUCAGGAAAUGCAACAUGGGGCCUAGGUGUAGUAAGGGCUGCGUGAAAGGGGGAUUGUUAAUAAUGUGUGCAAAAAUACAGGGACUUUUCUUUCUUGUCUAACUUUCAGAAAAAGGAGAACUGCUUUCUAGUGGAGUCCUGACAAAAUCUCUCACCUGAUGGGGCACUCUUUCCAUUCCUUUAUUUAGGACAACUUAGUACUAUCUAGGGAAGUCAAAUUGGAUAAAUAUGUCCCCUAUCAGUGCUAUCUUUGGGUGUUUAUAGAGGCCACUGGAUACACCAGAAACAGAAGAAAACAAACUUAGCCCAGUUUGGAGUCACUCAAUGUGACCUUAUUACCAUAAACAUUGGAUGGUGGGUGACACAACUUUGAAAAGCUCACUAGUAAAGCAGCACCCUUGAGUGGUAAUAUUGAAAAUUCUCAAUUCUGGCUGCCAGAGACAUUCACUGGAAUUACUAAAACUAAGACUUCCUGGGGCCUAACCCCAGCAUCUCAGGGUGAGGCUGCAACCUGGGCAGUGGUAUGUGUGUCUGAAAAGCUUUCCAGGUGAUUCUUGUGUGUAAUCAAGAAAUGCUAACAUUGUGGGAGUCACCCAUUGUACCCUGAAGUGGCAGCUUAUACAACCUGACUGGCGUUUGAAGCACUGGAGGAGCUUCAGGAAAUAGCAGUCCCAGUCAGGGAUGCAGCUCGGGUAGAGCGCUUGCCAAGAGCGCACAAGGACCCAAUCCUCAACACUGCAGAAACAGAAACCAAACGACCCAUUAAAAAAAGCAGUCCUAACACCCAGGAAGAACAACAGUCAAGGCCAGGAAGAAGUUAGGCCAGCCACGGAAAGCUGUUAUGCAGUGCCUGGUGGAAAGGAAGCAUUCAAUGUUGCUAGAUUAUUACUGUAUUAUUGUUUGUUGUUGAGCAUGAAGGACAAGGAGGAGCCUGGGCUGAUGUCUAUGAGUCUAACUUUCCUAUCUGUGGCUAUAAAAUUAAGGACUUCAUAAAGAGGAGCAAAUUUCAG
rnacentral:lncRNA from 1 species